rnacentral:tRNA from 1 species
GGUAAGGUGGCCGAGUAGGCGGUGGACUGUAGUCCCACACACAGAGGUCUAAGCCCUCUUCUUGCCA